CCUACGGGAGGCUGCAGUGAGGAAUAUUGGUCAAUGGACGAGAGUCUGAACCAGCCAAGUAGCGUGAAGGAUGACUGCCCUAUGGGUUGUAAACUUCUUUUAUAUGGGAAUAAAAUGUUCCACGUGUGGGAUUUUGUAUGUACCAUAUGAAUAAGGAUCGGCUAACUCCGUGCCAGCAGCCGCGGUAAUACGGAGGAUCCGAGCGUUAUCCGGAUUUAUUGGGUUUAAAGGGAGCGUAGGUGGGUUGUUAAGUCAGUUGUGAAAGUUUGCGGCUCAACCGUAAAAUUGCAGUUGAAACUGGCAGUCUUGAGUACAGUAGAGGUGGGCGGAAUUCGUGGUGUAGCGGUGAAAUGCUUAGAUAUCACGAAGAACUCCGAUUGCGAAGGCAGCUCACUGGACUGCAACUGACACUGAGGCACGAAAGUGUGGGUAUCGAACAGGAUUAGAUACCCCAGUAGUC
rnacentral:rRNA from 1 species